CUUCCUCUUUCCUUGUGCAACUUUCUUCCUUACCCAGCCUAGAUACCUUUUCUUCAAUGAAAAGUUCAGUACAACCAUACACCGACAGGGGCAAUAAAACAUCACUUUAAGAAACCUUUAUAUCAUAGAUUCGUAAAUCAGCAAUAUAUUCAAACUGCUAUAAUAUAUGCACAUAACAAUAAAAAAAGCAGAUCCCGAUAUACAGAGCAAUAAAUCAAUCAAUAUCAAGUACUAGUCAAGCGUUUCUGAUAAAAAUGUCCGACUUUUACAAACUUGAUAAACAUUAGUCUAUAUACAUGUGCGUUUCAAACAAAGUUUUCAUCAAUGGCACCAAGCUAUAGAAAGGGAGAGAGAGAGGAGAGAGAGAGAGAGUAUAUGCUAAUGAAUACCCUAAAUCAACCAAUCUAUCAAGUACUCAACAAGCGUUUCUGAUAAAAAUGUUCGACGUUAA